rnacentral:lncRNA from 1 species
UAUCCGAUAUAUUUAACAAAUGUAUUCCAAAACUUGCUGAAAAACUGUCAUUUCUAGUGCAGUGGCCAGAUAAAGACAAUCUCAUAAAGAACAUGCCCAUAGUAUUUAAACUUUCAUAUCCAAGGUGCAUCAGCAUCAUAGACUGUUUCAAAGUAUUCUUCCAAAGACCAGCAAAUUUAACUGCAAGGGCACAAACCUGGUCGAAUUAUAAACAUCACAACACCAUCAAGUUUGUAGUGUCCAUAACA